rnacentral:snRNA from 1 species
GUGCUUGCUUCGGCAGCACGUUGGAAAUGAGAAGAUUAGCAUGGCCCCUGCAGAAGGAUGAGAUGCAAAUUCUUAAAGUAUUCCAUAUCUAA